ACUGAAUAGAUACCCGGGUAGUCCACGCCGUAAACGAUGAGUGCUAGGUGUUAGGGGGUUUCCGCCCCUUAGUGCUGGAGUUAAACGCAUUAAAGCACUCCGCCUGGGGAGUACGGCCGCAAGGCUGAAACUCAAAAGAAUUGACGGGGGCCCGCACAAGCGGUGGAGCAUGUGGUUUAAUUCGAAGCAACGCGAAGAACCUUACCAGGUCUUGACAUCCUCUGCAAGCUCUAGAGAUAGAGUGUUCCCUUCGGGGACAGAGUGACAGGUGGUGCAUGGUUGUCGUCAGCUCGUGUCGUGAGAUGUUGGGUUAAGUCCCGUAACGAGCGCAACCCUUUAUCUUAGUUGCCAUCAUUCAGUUGGGCACUCUAAGGUGACUGCCGGUGACAACCGGGGGAAGGUGGGGAUGACGUCAAAUCAUCAUGCCCCUUAUGACCUGGGCUACACACGUGCUACAAUGGAUGGAACAAUGGGCAGCGGAGCCGCGAGGUGUAGCAAAUCCCACAAAACCAUUCUCAGUUCGGAUUGUAGGCUGC
rnacentral:rRNA from 1 species